rnacentral:other from 1 species
ACAACCCUGCGGCGCUCGUGAUUGGGAUGAUAAAACUUGAUCCAACAAAAUGGUCUCGGGAGCCUAACUCUCUUAUGUCCUUGGAUAUAAGAGGAGGGCACCCACUUAUACAAAAGACGGACCAAAGUUUUUCAUUUUGAAACGGCGCAUGCAGGGUUAAU